GAUCUCAAAUCAGGUAGGACUACCCGCUGAACUUAAGCAUAUCAAUAAGCGGAGGAAAAGAAACUAACAAGGAUUCCCCUAGUAACUGCGAGUGAAGCGGGAAGAGCUCAAAUUUAAAAUCUGGCCGCCUUUGGUUGCCCGAGUUGUAGUCUGGAGAAGCGUUUUCCGUGUUGGACCGUGUACAAGUCUCUUGGAACAGGGCGUCAUAGAGGGUGAGAAUCCCGUCUUUGACACGGACUACCAAUGCUUUGUGAUGCGCUCUCAAAGAGUCGAGUUGUUUGGGAAUGCAGCUCAAAAUGGGUGGUAAAUUCCAUCUAAAGCUAAAUAUAGGCGAGAGACCGAUAGCGAACAAGUACCGUGAGGGAAAGAUGAAAAGCACUUUGGAAAGAGAGUUAAACAGUACGUGAAAUUGCUGAAAGGGAAACGCUUGAAGUCAGUCAUGUCUGCCGGGACUCAGCCUUGCUUCUGCUUGGUGCACUUCCUGGUUGGAUGGGCCAACAUCAAUUUUGACCGUUGGAGAAAGGCUUUGGGAAUGUGGCACCUUUGGGUGUGUUAUAGCCCUUUGUCGUAUACGGCGGUCGGGAUUGAGGACUGCAGCACGCCUUUAUGGCCGGGGUUCGCCCACGUACG
rnacentral:rRNA from 1 species